rnacentral:hammerhead_ribozyme from 1 species
ACCCAGCUGACGAAUCCCAAAUUGUACGAAACACGCGUCCUGGAU